rnacentral:rRNA from 1 species
AAAUUGAAGAGUUUGAUCAUGGCUCAGAUUGAACGCUGGCGGCAGGCCUAACACAUGCAAGUCGAACGGUAACAGGAAACAGCUUGCUGUUUCGCUGACGAGUGGCGGACGGGUGAGUAANNNNNNNNNNGCUGACGAGUGGCGGACGGGUGAGUAAUGUCUGGGAAACUGCCUGAUGGAGGGGGAUAACUACUGGAAACGGUAGCUAAUACCGCAUAACGUCGCAAGACCAAAGAGGGGGACCUUCGGGCCUCUUGCCAUCGGAUGUGCCCAGAUGGGAUUAGCUAGUAGGUGGGGUAACGGCUCACCUAGGCGACGAUCCCUAGCUGGUCUGAGAGGAUGACCAGCCACACUGGAACUGAGACACGGUCCAGACUCCUACGGGAGGCAGCAGUGGGGAAUAUUGCACAAUGGGCGCAAGCCUGAUGCAGCCAUGCCGCGUGUAUGAAGAAGGCCUUCGGGUUGUAAAGUACUUUCAGCGGGGAGGAAGGGAGUAAAGUUAAUACCUUUGCUCAUUGACGUUACCCGCAGAAGAAGCACCGGCUAACUCCGUGCCAGCAGCCGCGGUAAUACGGAGGGUGCAAGCGUUAAUCGGAAUUACUGGGCGUAAAGCGCACGCAGGCGGUUUGUUAAGUCAGAUGUGAAAUCCCCGGGCUCAACCUGGGAACUGCAUCUGAUACUGGCAAGCUUGAGUCUCGUAGAGGGGGGUAGAAUUCCAGGUGUAGCGGUGAAAUGCGUAGAGAUCUGGAGGAAUACCGGUGGCGAAGGCGGCCCCCUGGACGAAGACUGACGCUCAGGUGCGAAAGCGUGGGGAGCAAACAGGAUUAGAUACCCUGGUAGUCCACGCCGUAAACGAUGUCGACUUGGAGGUUGUGCCCUUGAGGCGUGGCUUCCGGAGCUAACGCGUUAAGUCGACCGCCUGGGGAGUACGGCCGCAAGGUUAAAACUCAAAUGAAUUGACGGGGGCCCGCACAAGCGGUGGAGCAUGUGGUUUAAUUCGAUGCAACGCGAAGAACCUUACCUGGUCUUGACAUCCACGGAAGUUUUCAGAGAUGAGAAUGUGCCUUCGGGAACCGUGAGACAGGUGCUGCAUGGCUGUCGUCAGCUCGUGUUGUGAAAUGUUGGGUUAAGUCCCGCAACGAGCGCAACCCUUAUCCUUUGUUGCCAGCGGUCCGGCCGGGAACUCAAAGGAGACUGCCAGUGAUAAACUGGAGGAAGGUGGGGAUGACGUCAAGUCAUCAUGGCCCUUACGACCAGGGCUACACACGUGCUACAAUGGCGCAUACAAAGAGAAGCGACCUCGCGAGAGCAAGCGGACCUCAUAAAGUGCGUCGUAGUCCGGAUUGGAGUCUGCAACUCGACUCCAUGAAGUCGGAAUCGCUAGUAAUCGUGGAUCAGAAUGCCACGGUGAAUACGUUCCCGGGCCUUGUACACACCGCCCGUCACACCAUGGGAGUGGGUUGCAAAAGAAGUAGGUAGCUUAACCUUCGGGAGGGCGCUUACCACUUUGUGAUUCAUGACUGGGGUGAAGUCGUAACAAGGUAACCGUAGGGGAACCUGCGGUUGGAUCACCUCCUUACCUUAAAGAAGC